rnacentral:misc_RNA from 1 species
ACGCGAUAGUUAAUGUGAAUUGCAGAAUUCAGUGAAUCAUCGAGUCUUUGAACGCACAUUGCGCCCAUUGGUAUUCCUUUGGGCAUGUCUGUUUGAGCGUCAUUACAACCCUCAGCUAACCGCUGGUUUUGAGCCGGGACAGGGUAACUCCCACACCGGUUUUAAAGUUGUAAGCUCUGCUGGCCGCUCCGCCAAACCAGAACAUAGUAAAAACACUACUUGUUGGGGUGAAGCUAAGCGGUACGGCCUGAACAAAACCUACCCAUUUUCAUAAGGUUUGACCUCAGAUCAGAUAAGGAUACCCGCUGAACUUAA